AUGUUUACAUAUCAAUCUCUUCUUUUGCUAGCUUCCAUUUUGGUUUACUUUCACACUUGACAUUUCUCCUCUUCUUUGCAAAAAUGAUCGAUAAAAUUA